AAGCCUGCCAUAAGCACAGGGCUGGUCCCUUUGUCUCCUUACCCCAAGCUGCCCUCCCAGGAAAAAAGCCUGGGGCCCACCCACCCCUUUUUAUUAUUUUGGAAGGAGAGAAGCUACAGCACAAGGAUGAUGGUGGAGGCUGCUCUCGGGGCUAUAUUUAGAGAUUGACUCCCACGUUCCAAUGGAAUCAUAAUCAGGCUUUCAGGGAUAAUGGAAAGCUGCUGAGGAAUUUCAAAGAGCACUGGCAGGAGUAAAUUUUGGUGUGAUCUGUUUGACAACUGGAUAUGAAGUGAUCAGGAGAAGAGCUAUGGGCCCACCACUAUAUGAUUAUGUGCAAAAUGAGUACACAACAGAAGAGAUUGAGACCUCCUGUGCUCUUUUUCAGCAUAUCUGUGAUAUCUAAUGUCUACUUGCUUAUUCUAUCCUUCUACCCUCUGAAAACGUAUGGAAGAGACAAUACAGUUCAAAAACUCAUAGCAAAUGAAGCAUCCUUAACCUAUAACAAAAUCAUUCAUCAAUCAAUAUUGGAAUGUUCCAGACAUUGCAAAUAA
rnacentral:lncRNA from 10 species